GGAAGUAAAAGUCGUAACAAAGUUUCCGUAGGUGAACCUGCGGAAGGAUCAUUAUUGAAUGAAACACUUCUGGCUUUAUGCUGUUGUGCUGUCCCUUUGGGCAAUGUGCACACGGCUCUGGUCACUUGUUUCUUCUGUUCCACCUGUGCACUGCCUGUAGACACGCUGUGUCUAUGAUAUUUGUUAACACACAACAAUGUUAGUUGGCAUGUUAUAUAUAAUAAUAAAAUAUACAACUUUCAACAACGGAUCUCUUGGCUCUC
rnacentral:misc_RNA from 1 species